rnacentral:lncRNA from 1 species
GAGUGUGAUGUGAGAACAUAGGAAGGAAGUGUUGGCAUGGGCAGUGCGCACAGCGCAGCGGGGGUGCAGGACAGGGCAGAGUGGGGUGUGGUUGCACAGCAGGAGGAUUCUGUUACAUGUGUCCUCCACCUUCUCAUCUCUACAGUCUCACCUUAAAAUCCAUCUUCAAGAUGAAGCAGCUCAUGUUCUUCAGGAGGUGACACUUGCAGAGACUGUGUUUCGUUGCGUGAAACAUGGCUCAGAGGAGGUAGCUAGGCCUCAGGCCUAUGUCAAAUAUGCAAGGAAACGAAACUCUGUGAUCUCAGAACUGAAGCACCAAAACUAUGAACUACUGAAACAUUUAUUCACCUACAGAAUGACUCAGAUCGGGAUAUAAGCUCUCAGUUGUUCAUUAACUCUAUCAUCAUGGAUUUUUACCCUCUGAAACUGGAUAUCAAAUGAAAUGUUUCCUUUGGCAUGGAUGGGUUCCCUCCUCUGUCUCAGAUCUGGAAUCCAAUCAGAGACCUGCUGCUUGUUCCUCUUGUGGUGAUUAACCAUUCUACAACUAAACACACUUACGUUGACAGCAAAUAAAAACAGAGGCUGGCAGCAGGCAGGCAAAGAAUCUUGACGCUGCAACAAUGAGGACAGUCCAGCCAUCUUGCUCUCUGACCAGAGGAAAACUGAACGUGCCUCCCUUGCACUAAGGUGCUGCUGCCACAGACAGAUUUCAAGCCUUGCCUGUGAGCCUCUCAGCUGCUUGCCUCUGAGUCAGGCACUGCGUGCGUGUGUUAUGGACUCAUGCUUGCCAUUGUAGUGAAUAAACCUUAAGAUCAAACGGUG